UUAAGGCUUUUCUCUUCAAAUAGCAAAGAACUUGCAAUGUCAGUUGCCUGGAUACCAGAGUAUCUCACAGGUUAUGAAGCUUCAGAGUGCACAUUAAAAUCUGGCCAAGCUGAGAAAGCCGCAAUAGUUCAUCUUCAUUGCGCAGAUCAUGAUCUACACUGAGCUGAACAACACGCAGCACUCCGUUGGAAUCAGUACGGCACAAGAGGGCUCUACUGUCUCCUACAUUGGCUACAUACAAGCGUCCACUGUAGACUAGGGCCACCACAACUGUGGUACCAGCAGACAGCUCACAGUUGAGAGCAUUCAGUUUGUCCACCUGAAUAACAAGAUGGCUUCCCUAUGUAGCAUCAACAAGGUAUGGAUUUGGAUUUAACACACACUGCACACAUUAAGUAAACAGAGCCUCAUGAACAGAAGAACCUAGUCGUACAGUAUGUAAACGGCAACAUUUCCUCGUGAGCAGCUAUCAUAUAUAUUUGGGAUAAUAAUUUUAUGUCAUAAACUCAUAUGCAAGCAGCAUGCAAUGCAAUUAGCCAACAGACAGCAGUGAGUGUAUACAUUACAGACCCAUGGGACAAGCAUCUGUCAAUGACACUUUUCCAAAGCAUAUGAAAAUGUAAUAAGUAUCACAAAUUCAAUACACAUAUCAAUGGUCAUGAGAAAGUAUCUAAAAAGACUGCAGAGAAAUAUGAAUUUAAAUUGUUUGUCCUUUCACGUACAUUUCACAUCAAGUGGAGAGAAAAAUGGAAGUCAACAUACAUGUUUUCCAUAUCUCAGAUAAUGUAAGUAUAUGUCUAAUUCCUACAUUAGCCAACAGAUGCUCCAAAACAUGUAUGAAAUAAUUUUAUUUUCUAAUUCACAUAUAUAAAGAAAAAAGUACAAAAA